rnacentral:rRNA from 1 species
CAGUAGCGUAUACGGUCAUUGUUGCAGUUAAAAAGCUCGUAGUUGGAUGAGAUUGGGAAAAAAGAAGAUCGCACUUUGAUGAAAAAUCAAAGAGGUCAACAAUUUUCCAAUUAUAUGAUUUAAUGAGGAGAUAUCAAGUUUUACUUGAUAAUGGAACGAAAGUGAAGUAGAGAAAAACUUUAGGGUUUUUCUUUUCUCCCAUUAUAGUUUACUUUGAAUAAAUUAGAGUGUUUAAAGCAAGUAGAAAUUUUCUAAAAUUUUGUAGGCUUGAAUAGAUUAGCAUGGGAUAAUGGAAUAGGACCAUCAGUUGAAUUGUUUUGGAACAGUUUGUCAACUGAUAGUAAUGAUUGAUAGGAGCGGUUGGGGGUAUUCGUAUUGAAUUAGAAGAGGUGAAAUUCAUGGAUUUGUUCAAGACGAACAUCAGCGAAAGCAUUUACCAAGGACGCUUCCGUUA